CUGAGCUCACACGCCCGGGAAGCGGCCGCGGCGGAGCCGGCGUCCGCAGCGGCUGCGCAUCUCGCGCCUCCCGCGGGGCGCUCGGGGGGCGGCGAGGCAGGUUGCGCAGUCCCCCGGGAGGGAGGCGGCCGCGGGAGAGGAACGGCAAAUGACAGAGCAGAGGGAUGGCUGGCCCAGCCAAUCCUGGAGCUGCUGCAGCACUUGUUCACCAAACACACACAUUCUGGUGCAAGGACAGAGAGGAGGGGGCUACUGGCUCACACUCCUUCCCCCACACAUGGCUCCCUUGCUGUUCCCCUGUGGGAAGGGCAGCCUGGCCACCUUAGGCUGCAUGGACAGAGGCUGCCAUGGGCCAGGGUGGUGAUGGUGCUGCGGCCCCUCCCUGCUGCCCAGCGUGGGAAGAAGAAUGCAGAGCCAGUCCCCCUUAGCCAUGGACUGCCUGGUGGAGUGGAUGCCAUUCUUUGCUUUGAAGCCAGCUCUUUGUUCUUGAGGCCCCCUGGUGUGGCAGAUGGGUGAGAUGACCCCCAGAAUUUUGCACUGGGAGACUACAUGUACGUAGGGUUGGAUAAAGAGAGGGAGAAAUGAGCUCUGCCUUUGAGGUUUUGAGCAAGAAUGACUAGAAGGAUGAUGGUGCCUUUGUAAGAAAUUUGGAGCAGGCCUAAGGGGCUAGGGGCUGGUCAGGGAAGGGUGUACAGGGAAGUGGAUCAGACAGCAAAGAUAAACAUGGUGUUCUUUUACUGUACUCUCCACUGGGCUGUCCCUGGUUACCAGGGCAACAGAAGCAGUGAUGAAAAUCAUGCCUUUCGUUCGGUGGAAAAAUCUGGCUCCUCCUCCCACCUCUUCCUUCUCUGAUCGCCUGCGAUCCAUUGGGAGGGUGAUGGCUCCAGGGAUCAGGGACCCCAGCAUAUCCCCGUCAGGCCCCCCUCUUCCCCAAUUUUUUUUUAUCAUCUCCCAGCUUCCUGCAUCCCAUAUGUCCCCCAGAGCUAGGCAAUUGGUAGUUGCGUAGGAGUUGGAGUGGUUGGAGGGGGAAGGGCACGGACGUCAUUGCAAGGCAGGGUGAGCAGAGCGUGGGCAGAGAUGUGGAUGCAGGAAUGACUGGCACACGAAGAGGGUCAGGCAUUGGUCAGCUGGAUGGAGCUUGUUUCUGG
rnacentral:lncRNA from 1 species